rnacentral:lncRNA from 1 species
AAAAUGCAAUCAACAACCUGUAAGAUAUCCUGAUGCAUUAGGACUCACAGCAGAGCACUUCCUUCAGAAGACCUCUGGUUUCUGACUCCAGGAAUCCUCCUUCUGCUCCACAGCCACUCCAAGGUAGGUGCCUUCAUUCUCAAUUAAUCCGUUUGUGGCUGAGUAAACCCGUCACCUCCAGAUCUUGAAAAAGGACCCUGUGUGGCUUCAGAUCUUGAAGACAGCAGGGCUCUGCUUUGGACUAUAAUUUAUAAGAAGCCUGGGCUUUGGAGUCAGACACAUCCAAGUUCAGAGCCCACCUUGAUGCUGUGAGAUCCUGGCAAAGCCACCCACUCCCUCUGAAAAGUGGAUUGCGGAGAUUAAGAGAGACUACUGAAGUGCCACGUUUAGGCUGACAUCAGGAGCACCGGUGAUACCUCCUUCCCAUGUUGCGAAAGCUUUGAUUUUGACCCAUCCUUGAGUCCUGAAGCUUGAACUCUGACCAGCCUGGGGAAGCUCAUUCGGUAUUUUGAUUUGAUUUGAUUUUUUUUCCUUUCUCUUUAUCAGUUCUGUGGCUAAAAGACCUCAGUCCUCCAGGCAACAUCACGUUGAUGCCUUUCACAAGCACUAACAUUCCCAUUUAAAACCGGAAAAUAUUUGACUAUCUUUGUUGUUGCUGCUAUAAAUCCUAUUGGAUUCACAUCAAAUGGGACAAAUUUUAAAUUUCACCCAUGAGACCUUUAUCGGGUGUGCAUCCCAUUCAGAGACCCACAGUGGAAAAUGGAUUUCAAAAUUGUGUGCACUGCAUUUUGAGGCUGAAUAUUUUAAAACCUGAAUGCAUAACCAAAAAAUUGGAACAGGGCGAAUAAACUGUACUGACCCAUAUCAAUGAAUGAUAUCAACUCCACUUCUACCCAGAGUGAGUGGAAUUGCUUAUCAAACAGAUCCCUUCUCAUCUUCUCAUAAAUUACAACAACACAGAGAAUGGACGGGACCCCCUUCCUGUUAUUUCUUCCUGUAUUUUUUUUUUUUCACGGCUUUCUCACAUCAUAGCCUACAAAAUAAGAUUACAGGAAUUUGUAAAUCAUUAGGAGCCUACAAAUUGCACAUCUGUGACUUAGAAAUUGGUAAAUUAAACAAAAGAACUUUUUCUUGUAUUUACAGAUUGUGAAAUGGACACUAUCAGGUUGCCUUUAAAAUACGUAAUAAAACACACCUUCAGAUUCAAACCUACAGGUAAUCUUCUCACAGAUGAAAUGGUUCAUAUAACAUUAGUGACACCACAAAAUACCAUAUUACAGCUCGUGACUUACCAUCAUGCCUUUUACAUUCUGCAAGACUGCUGAAUCUUAUUUUUGUUAAAAGUUAUCAUGUUGUCAAUUUUCUAAUCUAAUUCCUAAUCAUGAAAAUGUACCCUGAUUUCUAUUUCACUCGAGCCAGUAAUAAAAUAUUGUUUUCCUGUUUUAUCAU